AGGCGCCAGACUUGAUUGCAUGGAGGGAAGAACGCAGUGUUCAAGGUGCCGUCUACCUGCUGUGUUAUAAACUGCAAUAGUCGUUCUCACGAUAGAAGUGGCAUAAAGCUUAAGAACGGAAAAUCCUUCUAUCGUUUUCCAGCGUGGAAAAAUAAUAGUACAAGCCAUGUUUCAGAGGUGACAAAAAGGUGACGAAUGGCAUGGAUAGCAGCAGUAAGGAGGCCCAAGAUUACCUACGAUAACACUCCACCACACAUGAUUGUGUGUUCAAAGCAUUUUCACAAAGGCUACAUAACAAUUUAUUUGGCGACUGUGUUGGAGUGUGAUCCUGUCUGGGCCCCUUCUCUGUACCUCGGCCAUACUGAGGUCAAAGCUACGAACACAGACCGGUUCAAGCGUUUUAGGAGAAGAGCGAUGAGGUUACAACAACAGCAAGCAACCCCCAUCGCUAGGCACUGACAACACUGGUCCUGAGGCUGAGUUGGAAGCUCACAUAAAUCAACCUCCAUCGCCAAGCACUGACCACACUGGUCCUGAGGCUGAGGAUAAUGGAUAAUGCAGCACCUUUAUACCAGACAACACUACACCUGCAACUGAGAUGGAAGGUCCCAUGAAUCCACCCCCAUCGCCGGGCACAGUUCACACCGGUCAUGAGACUGAGUUGAAUGAAGCAGCACAUUUGUUCCUAGGUAAAUAUUGGUAACAGACGCAAGUAGACCAGAGACCAGCGUGCCAGUGAUAAGCAGAACACCGAGAACUGUGGCUUUCUUCAGAAGCUCUUGCCUGUAGACCUAGUGUUAGCGGACCGUGGAUUUGAUAUUAAAGAAAGUGUUGCCCUUGUGAAAGGGUGCUACAAAAGAUGUGGAACAGACCAGGAAGUUAGCUCAUGUCAGGAUCCACGUGGAGCGAGUGAUAGGGUGUAUGCACUCUAAGUUUAACAUAUUAAAUGACACAAUACGCCUGGGAUUUGUGGUGCCUUGUGAGGGGGAGGAUAAGACUUUGCUGGAUAAAAUUGUGGUUGUGUGCUGUGCUUUGACCAAUAUGUGUCCAAGUAUUGUUGUGAAGCUGUCAUGUUAGAAUUAUACACCAUGCUCACAUCUAAUAUGUAAAUAUGUUGUUGUUGAUUUUUUUCAAAAGAUUUUGUAAUGUCACUUCUCACAUGUAAUGAUUUUUAGCCAUCUCUGUAAAUAAAAUACACAAAG